GCCGACGGAGGGGACCGCCUCAGCUCUGCCGUGGGAGGCGCCGCAGCCGCUCCGCAGACCCAAUUGGGGGUCACGAACGCAUGGUCCGCGGCAAUUCCGCCGGAUACCCCACGGGUCUGGCUUCCGCCGGACACCCCCUGCCCUGACCUUGGAGCAGUUCCGGUCCUCGACCCCACUCCUUACCCUUCAGAGGUUCAGACCCCCGCGCUAACUUCGACUUUUCUCCUCUUUUCCUUGGAGGACCUAAUCUGUGAGGUGGAUUCGGCUCUCAUAUCUGCCCUUCUUCCUUUUGUAAAUACCCUUCUUUAUGAUACGGGUGUGAUAAACAUUAACUAUUUUUUGUUCACUGGAGAUCAAAUAACUCAAGAUAACAGGAAGUUACUAUGUUACUAUCUAAGCUUAUAGGCAAACAUACCCUUGCCCGUUCCGUUUUUUCUCUCUCUACUUGCUUAAUCAGCUUUAAGUUUCAGGAAUUCCAGCUUAGUUACCAUAUAUAGAAGAGGACAACUACAGCCUUCAUCUCUGCGACCACCGAGGGACAGAAAGAGACCCUCCCAGCAACACGUCACACAUACAUCAUCGGAGGAAAGAAGCAAGAUAAAAGCAAGACUGAAAAACCUGCCAAUUCACGGCAGUUGGCGGAGCGAGACUCCCCUGCCGUCCAGCGCUGUAUUUGCCUUUGCUUUGCCUGCUGCAAUGUAAUAAAUUCCUAUUGGAACUUUUCUUCGUGUUCAUAGUCUAUUACAAUUUGGUGCCGUGACUCGGAUCCACCUGCAAGAUAGGACUUUUGGUUCUGCCUGGGGGGCGCCCCGCCGAUCAGUCGGCGGCCCUGGUAGACCCGAUUCCUGUCUCGGUUGGACCGACGAACCUAAAUUCAAAGCAUUAGGCAAAGGAAGCCGGCAGACCCUAUAAACUUUGUGCACAAAGGUCCGGACGAAGACGCAAGACGCGUGAGUAUCUGUGUGGAAGAUUCCGUUCGGUCUGGGUUGGGUAUCCUGGAGUGCUGCGAGUGUGUGUGUGUGUGAGAGGAGAACCGGCAGCUCGGAUUUUCCAAGCGAUUGUGGACCCUCAGUAGUGCGGUUCUCAUUGUCCGAGAGGGCGUGAGCCACGAACAAGGGGAAGCGAGUGAUUUCUGCACCACACUUGUGUGAGGGCACUCCAGAAGAUGGGACAGGGGAAGAGCAGGCCCUCUACUCCCAUAAAACUCCCCCCGGUGCCUAGAGAUAGCCCACUGGGGUUCAUAUUAGACAAUUGGAAACAUUACCCUAACACAGGGGGUAAAGAUAAAGCUAAAAUGAUCCAUUAUUGUGUAGUAGUAUGGGGUGGAAAGGAGAUUUCCUGGAAUAUUUUUUAGCCUAUUUUUGGAUCAUCAGAAGAUUGGGUGAGGCAAAAACUCAACUUGUGGGUAAACACUAAAAUUCCUUUUAGUCAGGAAGAAAGUGAAUAUGCUAAUGUAUGGGUUACAAGACCUGGGAGUGAAGUGCUCCUGUUUCCCCUCAAAGAGGGAGGACGAAAGAAAGACAGGAGUAAAGAGGAAGAAGCCUUACUAAUCCCACCUCCUUACAUACCCCCUCAGAACCCCCAGAUUCUGGAUGCACCUCCAAUGGAGCCUCAAGAAGCAAUAAGUAAUCCCGAGCCCCCCGAGGAAGUGCAGGGACCCAUAACCCGAGGUCGGGCUAGACAGCAUAACCUAUAUCCCCUAAGAGAAAUGCCUGUGGGGGGGGGCCAGGGACCUCACCCAGCGAUAGGGUUUGUUUCAGUACCUUUGAGUUCUGGGGAUGUUCGGGAAUUUAAGAGGGAGAUGGGGAGCCUCCUGGAAGAUCCUUUGGGGGUGGCCGAGAGACUGGACCAAUUUUUGGGACCCAGUAUUUAUACUUGGGGCGAGUUGCAAGCCAUAUUGAAUAUUCUUUUCACGGCCGAGGAAAGAAAUAUGAUUAGACGAGCGAGGAUGCAGAUAUGGGAUUCACAACAUGCACAAGGACCUUUAGCAGACACCAAGUGGCCUUUGCAGGAUCCCAAUUAGAAUCAUCAGCAGCAGGAUCACAGAAUCAAUAUGCAGGAUCUGAGGGGGAUAAUAGUACAGGGGAUCCGGGAAGCGGUGCCUAGGGGGCAGAACAUCAACAAAGCAUUUAAUGAGAGACAGAAAAAGGAGGAGACACCUACGGAUUGGCUAGAACGCUUGAGAAAAAACCUGCAGAUGUACUCUGGCUUAGAUCCUGAGACACCGUUAGAGCAAGCACUACUAAAAACACAAUUUGUGGCUAAAUCGUGGGAAGAUAUCAGAAAGAAGUUAGAAAAAUUAGAUAAUUGGCAAGAUAGAGACCUAGAUGAACUAUUGAAGGAAGCACAGAAGGUAUGUGUGAGAAGAGAUGAAGAGAGUCACAAGAGACAAGUAAGAAUGAUGGUGGCAGCAGUAAGGGAAACUAGGAGAAUUGAUGCCCCUCCCAAAACAAGUCAAGUGGCCCAGAGAAAUGGGGGAGGGGUUCCCCGGGUAGAGAAAAAGGAUGGAGGCGUAUGUUUCUACUGUGGAAAUAAAGGACACUUUUGGAGAAACUGCAGGAAGCGGCUGAGGGAUGAGAGAGUCUUCAAAGAGGACUGAAGGAGUCAGGGGCUUCAUUUGCUGGGGACAUGAAAACAUCAGGAGCCCUUGAUAAAAUUAAAAGUAGGUCCUCAGCAGCAAGAAUUUGAGUUUUUAGUAGAUACUGGAUCUGAGCGAUCGACAGUCCAGGUACUACCGGAGGGAUGUAAGAUAUCAAAGGAAACUGCUCAAGUGGUAGGGGCGAAGGGGGAGCCCUUUGAAGUCCCUGUUAUUAAGAAUGUACUGGUGGAAUCGAGGUCCAAAAUGGGAAUAGGGAACCUUCUGCUGGUACCAGAAGCAGAUUAUAAUUUGUUAGGGAGAGACUUAAUUAUAGAAAUGGGUAUUAAUAUAGAAGUAGUAAAUGAGGAAAUCAAACUCUGUCCCUUGAGGGUAGAGGAUGAAGAAAAAAUUAACUCAGAAGUAUAGUACACUCCUGAUAGUGUAGGAAGGUUGAAUAUACCCCCCUUCUCGGUAAUCAUUAAAGAUCCAGAGACACCGAUAAGGGUUAAACAGUACCCCAUCUCCCCAGAGGGGGAUAGGUUGUUUGUAAAUGUCUCAUCGUGAGUAAUUAAUAAAAAAAGGGUCUCUGGCUAUGCAAUAGUUAGGGGAGAAGGACUUGCAGUUAUCGAAUCAGGCCCUCUAAGUGGAUCUUGGUUGGCGCAGGCCUGUGAACUUUAUGCUGUACUGCGGGCAUUGCAGUUGUUGAAGGAUAAAUCAGGUACCAUCUAUACUGACUCAAAAUAUGCCUAUGGGAUUAUACACACUUUUGGGAAAAUAUGGGAAGAACGGGGGUUGAUAAACUCCCAGGGAAAAAAAAAAAAAACAAAAACAAAAACAAAAACAAACAAAAAAAAAAACAAAAAAAAACAAAAAAAAACCAACCUGUUUCACCAGGAUCUAAUCAGGAAACUGCUGAAGGCCUUGAGGGGACCUAGGAAAAUUGCUGUUGUUCACCUGAAAGGGCAUCAAAAGGGAUUGGAUUUUAAAAGCAGGGGAAAUAAUGCAGCAGAUCAGGAAGCAAGAAGGGCUGCUUUGCAGACGUCACAAUCUACCCCCCAGAAAGAUCCGAAGGCUGAAAGAAAAGAGCGUGAAAAUAGCAGAGGGAAUUUGCAAAAGAUAUAUAGUUUUACUAUGCAGGAAAAAGAAAAGAUAAAAAGAAUGGGGUUGAGAGAAGACCCAGAAGGGGAAUGGCGACUUCCAGAGGAUAAUAGAACUGUACUGCCUAAAUCCAUAGCUAUGGAUAUUAUGAGGAGAAUACAUAGCAAAACACAUUGGGGGGCACAAGCAUUAGUAGAUCAAUUCGCCACCAAACAUAUGUGUAUUGAGGCAGAUGACUUGGCAAAGCAGGUAGUGAGGGAGUGCGUUACCUGCCUAAAAGUAAAUAGGGCCAAUUUAAGAAAAACCUUAAUGGGGAGACGACCUACAGCAUACCGGCCAUUUGCUAACAUCCAACUAUGGAAAAAGGGAAAGUUAGCUCAGAGACCCCCACUAGAUUUGAAACUGCACCAGGUGCAACCAGGAGAUUAGGUAAUGAUAAAGUCCUAGAAAAAAGCAACCUUAGCCCCACAAUGGGAGGGCCCUUACCUUGUAUUGCUUACUACAGAUACUGCAGUCAGAACAGCAGAGAAGGGAUAGACCCAUGCUAGCAGAAUUAAAAAGCCAGUGAGCAAACCGACUCCUGAGUGGCAGGUGACAAGCAAUCCCAGAGACCUGAAGUUACAGAUCCAGAGGAGAGAUCAUCAAUGAAUAAACACCGUGUAGAAUAUGCACCAGAACCACACUACACGGAGGAAAGAUUAAUUUGUAACUCUGAUGUUAAGAUAAGGUGUAGAGACCCAGAGUGCAAUUGUUAUCCUUUUGUUUGUUAUAUUUGUAAAAUCUGCAGGGACAGGUGGUGGAGUCAUUGUAGGUGAGGAACCCCUCCUAGAGGAAUUUGCAGCCCCUGUUGGGUACUGCAGCGGAACAUAACUGAUUGGAUUCUAGAAUAUAAAGUUAAAUAUGAGGGAUUAGUAGAAGAAUCAGAAGAGUGGUGGAGGAUUUUUUUUGCAUUAGGGAUUGAACCAAAAUAUUAUUGUUAUCACCCUAAUGAACCCAUCCCAUUCAUAGCUGAAAUUGUUGACUGCACCUGCCGCACACGCCUAAAGGGAAUCCGGUGUGAUACACCCCCGGUUAAGUAUCGGAACUAGGAUUCCUAUGUCAAGAGGCAACAGAGUCGCCCCCGGGGACCUCCUGAAGAAUAUCCCUGCUGCCGAGAAGAUAGUACCCCCCGUGGCUCGAGGCAACCGAGUUGACGGGAAAGGCAGAGGGGUAAAAAGCUGUGGAGGAAAGAAACCCCAGGGGUGGGACAACAAAACAAUAUUUGAGGAAUUGCCUCAGGAAUGGGAAUUAGAGCAAGGACCCUGGGCAGAGAGACAGGUUGCAGUCUAUAAAAUGGAACAAUCCUCAAAUAUACUCCCAUUCCUAUGCCCCCAAUGAUGCUCACCACGUGACCCAGCCGAUUACUUUUCUUUUGCUGAUGUUAUACUUAAGAGGGAUUAAUGCCUUAGACAAUCUACCACACCAACCCUUUAAAUGGUCACUAUGGCGAUGGGAUGACAAUGAGAUUUUGCAAACUGUAACUACUGUAGGAGCACCCAGUUUCAGAGUAGGAUUGUGUGAUCUGACCAACAUAGAUCAUUGUAGAAAAGUACUAAACCUAACAGGAUUUUACAUGUGCCCAAGCUCAAAUCACAGUAAAAGAUAUUGUAAUUAUCCUGGGGAAUAUUUUUGUGGAUAUUGGGGCUGUGAAACAAUCGCCUCUAACUGGACACCCAGGGGAGGGCAUAAUAAAUAUUUGCAAGCAGACUUUAGACCAUGUAUAUUUAAUAAACUGAUUACUAUAGUGGAAAGCCGGCUGGAAGCGGCACAUCUUAUGCUUCUUAAGACUAAGUAUGAUCAGAUACCUGAAGAAAAAAAUUUAGAAACUUUAGAGUUAGCUAGACAAGAACUGCAAAGAUACAGUGAACAAAAAUAAGUAAGAACAAGAGAAAUGGGGGAAUUGUGAUAAACAUUAACUAUUUUUUGUUCACUGGAGAUCAAAUAACUCAAGAUAACAGGAAGUUACUAUGUUACUAUCUAAGCUUAUAGGCAAACAGACCCUUGCCCGUUCCGUUUUUUCUCUCUCUACUUGCUUAAUCAGCUUUAAGUUUCAGGAAUUCCAGCUUAGUUACCAUAUAUAGAAGAGGACAACUACAGCCUUCAUCUCUGCGACCACCGAGGGACAGAAAGAGACCCUCCCAGCAACACGUCACACAUACAUCAUCGGAGGAAAGAAGCAAGAUAAAAGCAAGACUGAAAAACCUGCCAAUUCACGGCAGUUGGCGGAGCGAGACUCCCCUGCCGUCCAGCGCUGUAUUUGCCUUUGCUUUGCCUGCUGCAAUGUAAUAAAUUCCUAUUGGAACUUUUCUUCGUGUUCAUAGUCUAUUACACGGGGAGCCUAAGCAGGGUCCAAAACUAUUUCGAUUCAAGUUUUAGAGACAGAGAAGGACAGAGUGGAGUCCCGGCACGGUUACACCCAGGGGAGAAACCAAGAAGUUGUAGAGUUUAUUUUCCAAAGGAUAGAUAUCAUAUAAAACCUUUAGUAACAUUAAACGUUGGCCCUAAAGAAGAAGUCCUGCAAUUUUUAGUUGAUCUUGGGACAGAAAAAACCUGCAUCACGGAAAAACUAAAAGGAUGAAAAGUAUUGCUAACAACUGAAGCUGCAGUAUUGCUGACAACUGAAGCUGCAAAUAUGGAUCAACGCCAUCAAAGAUCAAGAAACCUGUGAAAGGACAUAAGAAUGAACUAAAACAUCUGUACCAGGGAGCACGGAUCGGGCGGCUGCUGGCUGCCUGGAGUCCACGGUUAACGGAGGAGUCUGGUCCUGGGAAUUCUACCAUCUGUUGGAGUGCCCAGGAAUUCGAAGUUUUCUUCGCUGUCCUGCUGGAUUUUGGGUCAGCCCGGGUCCAGCCGCUGCGGCUUCUCCGGCACUGCCAAUUUUGCCUGCCAGGACACCCCCCUGCCUGCGGAGGACAGGCCACCAUGCCCGGCUUCCAGCCAUCAGCGCUGGAGCUUCCACCGUUUGCCCUCGGGGUUCUUGGUUCUGUUUUACUAUUAUUAUAAUUGCUGUUGGGUUUUUUUGU